GACAGAGGGUGCAAACGUUGCUCGGAAUCACUGGGCGUAAAGGGCGUGUAGGCGGGACAGUAAGUCGGGCGUGAAAUCCCUGGGCUCAACCCAGGAACUGCACUCGAAACUACUAUUCUUGAGUGUCGGAGAGGAAAGCGGAAUUCCUGGUGUAGAGGUGAAAUUCGUAGAUAUCAGGAGGAACACCAGUGGCGAAGGCGGCUUUCUGGACGAUAACUGACGCGUG
rnacentral:rRNA from 1 species